rnacentral:rRNA from 1 species
GUGAAACCGCGAAUGGCUCAUUAAAUCACACCCAAUCUACUGGAUAGUUAACAGUUACUUGGAUAACUGCGGUAAUUCUGGAGCUAAUACAUGCUUAAAAACCUCGAACUUACGUGAGAGGUGCUUUUAUUAGAUCAAAACCAAACGGCUUCGGCUGUAAGCUUGGUGACUCUGAAUAACUUUGGGCUGAUCGCAUAGCCUUGUGCUGGCGACAUAUCCUUCGAAGGUGUGCCCUAUCAUCUGUCGACUGUGGCAUAGACGCCCACAGUGGAUUUGACGGGUAACGGGGAAUCAGGGUUCGAUUCCGGAGAGGGAGCCUUAAAAACGGCUACCACAUCUAAGGAAGGCAGCAGGCACGCAAAUUACCCAAUGACCGAAGGUCGAGGUAGUGACGAAAAAUAACGAUACGAGACUCAUCCGAGGCCUCGUAAUCGGAAUGAGUACACUUUAAAACCGUCCCCGAGGAUCUAUUGGAGGGCAAGUCUGGUGCCAGCAGCCGCGGUAAUUCCAGCUCCAAUAGCGUAUAUUAAAGUUGUUGUGGUUAAAAAGCUCGUAGUUGGAUCUCGGCAGUCUGGGAUCGGUUUGCUUGUUAGCAUUACUGAUCCAUAGACUGUAGUUUUGCCCGAGGUUUCAGGGUGCUCUUCACCGAGUGUCCUGGGAUGCGGGCAGGUUUACUUUGAAAAAAUUAGAGUGCUCAAAGCAGGCUAUUACGCCUGAAUAUUCGUGCAUGGAAUAAUGGAAUAGGAAGUCGUUUCUAUUUUGUUGGUUUUCGGAAAUCGACUUAAUGAUUAAUAGGGACAGACGGGGGCAUUUGUAUUCAAACGACAGAGGUGAAAUUCUUGGACCGUUUGAAGACAAACUACUGCGAAAGCAUUUGCCAAGAAUGUUUUCAUUAAUCAAGAACGAAAG